rnacentral:rRNA from 1 species
CCCUUAGAUGUUCUGGGCCGCACACGCGCUACACUGAAGGAGGCAGCGUGUACUCCUGGAUCGAAAGAUUUGGGUAACCCGCGAAUCUCCUUCGUGCUAGGGAUUGAGGUUUGCAAUUAUCCUUCAUGAACGAGGAAUUCCCAGUAAGUGCAAGUCAUAAGCUUGCGCUGACUACGUCCCUGCCCUUUGUACACACCGCCCGUCGCUACUACCGAUUGAAUGAUUUAGUGAGGACUUCGGACUGGGACCGAUGCGGCUUUCGGGCUGCGUCGGUAUUCUGGAAAGAUGUCCAAACUGUAUCAUUUGGAGGAAGUAAAAGUCGUAACA